AUCGAUCAAUAUAUUGUGUAAAAAUAAGAAGAAAGAACGAAACAAAAUUAUUAGUGGGAAAGAAUGGUGAGUGAAGCAGUAGAAAAGAGACUCUAUGAUGCUGCAUCAAAAGGGGAUGUCACAACACUUGUAAAACUAGUUGAAGAAGAUCCAUAUCUUGUUCAUGGAGUCCCAUAUCCAUGUUCAAGAAAUAUUCUACCCAUAGCAGCUAUUAACGGACAAACAUCGAUUGUUGAACAAGUUUUGAAGCUUAAUCCGAGGCUAGCGCGGAUUUCAGACACCCAAAAAUCAUCGCCUCUUCACAUUGCAGCAGAGGAAGGGCACAUCGAGAUCUGCCAAAAGUUGUUAUCAGUAGCCCCCGAGGCUUGCUGGUGGCGAGACGGUCAUGAUAUGAACCCGCUUCAUAUUGCAGCCAUGAAAGGUCAUGUUGAGAUUAUAGAAUAUCUCCUUCAAGAGAGUCCUUUGCCUGCUAUGGAGAGACUGCGCUGCGGAGGGACUAUUUUGCACCUGUGCGUGAAACACGGUCAGCUUGUGGCGUUGAAGGUUUUGGUGGAGAGGCUGGGAGAGCUUGUGGAUGCAGUUGAUGAGAAUGGAGAGACAAUAUUGCAUUUGGCUGUAAGGUCUAAUCAACUUGAGACUAUAAAAUAUUUGGGGGAAAGCAAGAAAAUAAAGAGGCUAACAAAGAAUUCCAUGAACAAAACACCACUUGAAAUCUUGGAUGAGAACCCUCCGGACACAACUAGUUGGUAUUCGGAAAUCAGAAGAAUUUUGUCAAGUGCAAAAGAUCCAUCAAGUUCGGAUAGUUUGUAUCCCCAGUUGACCGAGGCCAUAAUGGUGGUGGCGGUCCUGAUAGCAACGGUGGCAUUUCAAACCACGGUCAGCCCACCUGGCGGCGUGUAUCAGGAUGACACGUCACCACACAAGGCCGGAGAUGCCAUAUUGGCGCAUACUCAUCCCAAAUUAUUCAAUGAUUUGAUGGGAUCUAACACCACAGCAUUCCUGGCAUCCCUCAUCACUAUUUUCAUUAUGGUCACUGGAUUGCCAUUGGAGUACAACUCUUUCUUUGUUAUUGCCACGCUUGCUGGGGGGGUGUCAAUGACUGCUAUCGCAUGGAGCUAUAGAGCAUCGAAAAUGGCGAUCACUCCCAACACCGAACAAAAAACAUUUGACACUACUUAUGCGACAAUAUUCCUUGCGUUUAUUGGUGUCAUGUGUGCAGUCAUAAUUUCGUGUACCAAGGUAAAAAGGUUGUACUUCUACUGGAAGGCAAAGCCACGGCGUAAGGAAGGUCUUACAUCCGGUUCUUGGGGCCAACGUGUCCUCUAUCGGAUUUUCCGAUGUUUGGAGGGCUGUGGAUGUUUGGGCCGCAAUCGUUAAGCUAGGAGAGGCUGCAUUGCUGCAUUUGUGUGUGAACCAUGGGAAAUGGUGGAGAGGUUGUGUGCCAAGGAUAUAUAUAUAUAUAAUGAUGGGGAGACACUAGCUAGUGUAUUUGGUUGUUAUAUAGGUGCAUCAACUUGAGGUACGUAACAUGUUGUGUUUCUCAUGUGAGUUUGAUUAUUGUGUAUGAAGAUGACUUUUAAAUACUCUAUAAAUGAUUUAUCGUGUAUAAACUAGAUAUAGUUAUGCUAGUUGUUUAUGAAUUAGAGAACAUACAAGGAACUUGCAAACUCAUCGCAAACACGCCCUGUAUCUCGUACGGUUUAGAAGGACUCAAAAGAUGUUCAAACUAAUAAAAUGCCUAAAAUUCUAGUAUUUGAU